rfam:Gossypium arboreum cultivar AKA8401 contig_20562_3, whole genome shotgun sequence.
AUUCCAUGAUGAAGGCACUUACAUAAUAAUUCUUUGUACCUUUCCCAUGCCUCAUACAAGGUCUUGUCAUCCAUUUGCUGGAAAGCAGUGGUCUCGUUCCUCAACUU